GACGAACCGUGCGAACGUUGUUCGGAAUCACUGGGCAUAAAGGGCGCGUAGGCGGCUUAUCAAGUCAGGGGUGAAAUCCGGCAGCUCAACUGUCGAAGUGCCUUUGAUACUGACGAGCUCGAGGGAGAUAGGGGUGUGUGGAACUUCCGGUGGAGCGGUGAAAUGCGUUGAUAUCGGAAGGAACGCCGGUGGCGAAAGCGACACACUGGAUCUCUUCUGACGCUGAGGCGCGAAAGCUAGGGGAGCAAACGGG
rnacentral:rRNA from 1 species